rnacentral:ncRNA from 1 species
CAGAGUAAGUCGGUAAGCGUUAAGUGCCGGUCGAACGGGGAGUUGUCGAUCGGACGAAAGGAACCCCGGUUCCUGCGGUUUGCCGGCUGCAUCCCGCUG